rnacentral:lncRNA from 1 species
UAGGUCCCCGUAAUUCGAGUGAGAUUGUCAUGGCGCAAAAGCAGAUAUGGUCUGGUAUUCCCUUGUUUCCUGUAUUGGUUAUGUUCCUCAUUUCUUGUCUAGCAGAAACUAAUCGAGCUCCGUUUGAUCUCCCAGAAGCGGAAGCUGAAUUAGUUGCAGGCUAUAAUGUAGAAUAUGUAUAGAAUGAAAUCCUUAAUAGUCAACUGUUGGUGGAAACUAAUGUCUCGAGUUCUUAAAGACUCAUUCUGACUGAAACAAGGGGUGGGUCUUUACCAACUUCAAAAUAUUCGAUUUUAGAAAAGCCAAAAAAGGAGAGCGCCUAGCGCGAUCCUUAUUGAAAAGGCCCCAACCUAUGGAUGCCCAUGCAAUCAAACAAUCGGAAAGCCUUUUGACAACCAGAAAGGGCAAAAAUGCGCUCAAACAACCUAUCUUACUAAUAAUAAUUAAUAAUGAAAGCCCGUAAAGCUACAACUUGAAAGUCGACCUUACCUUUAGCAACAAGGGCGUUUAGGCUUUACUAAUAGAAUAGUUAGGGCUUUUCUUGCUUGUUUAGUCAAAUCAAGCUUUUCAUUUUGAUAGGAGUAGGUGCUUGCUGGGGCAGGGCACUCUUCAUUCUUCAUUCGAAACUAAUGAAUGUAUGUUCAAUGGUUUUUGACUUGUUAUAAAAAAAAGAGAUGUGUAAAGUAAACUCUCUCUUAGAUGAAGAUGAAACUUAGUGAAGUUGAAAUCGAUUGCGCUAUUUGAUGCUCCGAUCGAAAACAAAUCAGUGGGGCCAUGCCGGUACGACUGAAUAUGCGUUAGAAAGGUCAAUCCCUCCCCUACGACACCAAAAAAAAUUAAGCUGAACUUCUGAUAGCUCAUCUGUUUCCAUAGAACAAUAUCGCGGCAACGUAGACCUAAGUAGUCAUAUUGGAUCCUUGGGAACCAUCACAAGUACGAUUGACCUAUUUUUGAAUGAGAAUGUCAUGUCAUCCAAUGGAGCAUAGAAAAAGGUAACUCAUAUAAAUAGCUGACUCCUUUUCAAUAGAAAGGAAUAAUGCAACCAACCUAGUUGGCUAAUCAAUCUAAGAGAUUUUAUCUAUUAACAAACCAAAAACGAAUGACCAUAAUCCCAACCUUACCAACACCAGAGCAUACUAAUCAAUGAACCCCCGAAACCCACUUUCUUUUCUGACAAAAUCAACCGCGGUCACGACAUGUUGUUGAUAUUGAUUGAGUUUGAGGUGACCGAAUCCAUCCAUAAACCUAGACCCCGGUACCCUUCGUAACCAAAGCGUCACGACACCAUCCAAAGGUGACCUUUGGAUUCUUUUUUAGGGGCAAAAGGAGGAGCACGUAGGAAUGCCGACCACUCCAUAAGCCACUAGUGGUUAAGGAAAAACUAGUAGUACUUCGUAACAAGAAGAUCAAAGAACAUUAAGGGACUAUGCUAUCCCAUAAAUAAAUGGCUUUUAACUUAGCAUUAGAAGGUCAACUAUUUAGGCUUGUAACUUUGAAAUAAAGCUAUAUAUCAUUCAAAUGAUACAAAUUUUUAUUCAAUUUGGGAGGGGUUGCCUAAUGAUGACCCCAAUGUUCACUUGUCUAAUUUUCUUGAUGCUUUUAAGCAUGAUGGUGUUAAUGAUGACCCCAAUGUUCACUUGUCUAAUUUUUUUGAUGCUUUUAAGCAUUAUGGUGUUAUUGAUGAUGCCAUUAUUAGAUUAAGACUUUUUUUUUUCCUUUUAAGGAUAAUGCAAAGAACUGGUUGACUUCUCUUUUAUUGGGCUUUAUAGGAUGACUUUGUUCAAAUGUUUCUUGUUAGAUUCCUCUCUCUGGCUAAAACUACUAAGAUGAGAAAUGGCAUCAUGGUUUUCCCAAAUAGUUAUAAGUUUAAGUUUUCUACAAUGGGCUAGUAAGGCAAGCAAGAAUCGCCAUAGAUGUUGGUAACUAGGGGAGCCUUAAUUAGUAAGUUCAUUAGGGAGGCCUAUGAUUUGAUAGAGGGUAUGGCUGUUAAUAACUACCAAUGAUCCAAUGAAAAGUUGUUUAAAAAAAAUUCAAUUGGGAUAUAUGAACUUGAUGCAUUAAUCACUGAACCUCCCAAGUUGUUACCUUAAUUAAGAAUUUGAUUAUUUAGGAACCAAUUCUAUGCCUAACCCUAUCAAAUGAAUUCAAAGCUCUUUUUGUUAUGUGUGAUAUUUUUAAAGGGAACCAUUCUCAAGAUAGGUGUCCCAUUAAAGUCAAAUGUGCUUAAUAUGUUGCUCAACCUAAGAAAUAAUUCAACCUUUAGUCUAGCUCAUAUAACCAAAGAUGCAGAAACCACUCGAAAUUUUCUUAGUGAAACAACCAUUGGCAGCCAUCAAACUUUAACUCCAAACCUAUGAAACUUCCUAGUUUCAAUCAACUAAACCAAUGCCAUCCACUUCCUCACUUUAAGAAAAAACCUUCCUUUGAGGAGUUGUUCACCCAAAUCCACUAAAACGAAGUCACCACCAUACAAAACCAAGUAGCUUUCAUAAAAACCCUUAAAGUACAAAUGGUUCAAUUACCUAGUGCCUUUACAAAUUGACUCCAAAGAACCUUACCUAGCACUAUUGAGUCAAAUCCAAUGAAGGAAAGUAAGGAGCAAUACAAUUCCAUCCUCACCCCAAAGGAUGAUGAAAUUGAUGAUGAGUCUAAUAUGAAGGAAUCGGUUAUGGUAUAAAUGUCUAAUUUUGUCAAGCUUGUUGAGGAAAAAAUGUUGGAGAUUGCCUAGAGAGGAUGAAUUUGAAGAAGAAGGCAUGGUUAUAGAGGAGGAAAUAAAAUAUGAUCGCAUGAAAUAGGAAUUGGCAAUUGAAGAACUUAUGAAAGAUAAGGUAGUGCAUUAUGUCAUGGUGAAAAGAAAAUCUAUGGAGGAAAAACCAUUAGUGGAAGACAAGGUAGCUCUUAAAUUGGUUAUGAAAAGAGAGCUUGUUGAAGAGAAGGCUACGAUGGGGAAGUUAAGAUUCAAGGCAAGGCAAAGGAAAAAGAAUAUCAAAUAAAGCAUAUUCCAAGAAUGUCCAAUCCAUAUAGGCCAAUAGACAUUCUUGCUAAACAAGUCAAAAAGCCUACUUUAGAUUAUUUACUUGAUGGAUUGAAGAAUGUUACACCCACUAAGGAGUUUAAAAUCAUGCUUCAAAGGAAUUUGCCAAAGCUUAUCGAUCUAAAGAGUUUCUCUAUUCCUUGAGCUUAUCGAUCUAAGGAGUUUUUCUAUUCCUUAUUCUAUUGAUAAUAUUUUCUUUGAUAAAGUUUUAUGUGACCUUGGUGCAAGUAUAAAACUAAUGCCUUUGUCUAUUUUUAGGAAAUUAGGGAUUGGAGAUUUAAAGACUCCAAGAACUUAUCUACAAUUAGUGGAUAGUUCUAUUAAGCAUCUUGUGGGAAUUGUGGAGAAUGUUCUUCUGAAAGUUGACAAGUAUGAAUUCUCAUUGAUUUUGCGGUUCUUGAUAUAGCUAAUGACGAAAAGUCCUUAUUAUCAUAGGAAAGCCAUUCUUAACAACAUUAAGAUCUUUAAUUGAUGUCCACAAAGGGGAAUUGAUUAUGAUAUUUCAUGAUAGAGAAAUUGUUUUCAAAAUAGAUGACCUUGGUGCUGUUAAAGAUGGUUUGAAAGAGAAUGCAAGUUUGCUUAUGGAGGAAGCCUGAAGGCCAAAAACAUAGCUAGCUUGUUUAAGCCUAGUUAGAAAGAAACACAAGUUGAAAGAUGCAAAAUCAGUGAAUGAAAAAGCUAGUAUGAAGAUGCCCUAAAGCCUCUUGAUUUGAUUUAAGUUAAGAGGAAGAAAGAUGGAGUUAUAUUUAUGAAGAGUUAUACACUCAUUUUUUUAGUGCAACAUCUUAUAGAGAAUGUCAUGAAAAAGAAGAUGGUAAAGUGGAUGGAUGCCUCUACAAAGAAAGGUGUGGUGAUUUAAAAAGUUAAAUGAUUGUCAAAGUUAGUCAAGCUUGACUUUAAUUAGUGUUAUUUGGGAAGCAACUCAUGUUUUAAUUAUCGAUUUAUCAUACUUAAAAUAAGUUUUUACUUUUUUUUUUAGGAUAGGUAAUGCUUUGUUUUCUGUUUGUUUUAUAGGUACAAAAACUUGAAAAAGCUAGGAUUAAAAAGCUAGUCACGAGCUAUUGGUGCAAGGUUGAUGCGUGAUCUUAGAUGUUUCAACAUGCUUAGAUUCAGUUUUGGUACAAUAGGAGAGUAUUCUUCUUCUUUAGUGCUUAAUUGUUAUAUUUCUUACACAUUAAGACAAUGUAUAACUUAAGUUAGGGAAAAUAAAUUUUUUUCAAAAUUUUUUUCAAAAUCUUUUCAAAUUUUCUAUUUUUGAGCUUAAAUUGUCAUGCAUUGAAUUAUUAUAUUGCUUCAUUUGUUUAUUUUCUUAUAAUCUAAUAAUAGAAACUUUGGUUGACUUUAAAUAUAGCUUUUAGAAAAGAAUGAAUGUAGUGUAAGCAUGAGAUGAAGUUUGAAUCUGCUUCUUUUUACUUAUGAUAUUUCCACCAACUUUUGGGUGUAGACACCCAAUUUGGUCCAGGCCGGAUCAAUUAGGCUUGGUCCAAAUGGGUAGGCUCAUUUUGUGUUUUUAUUUUGCAUUUUAUAUUUUUAUAUUUUUAUAUUUUAUAUAUAUAUUUUUUUCUUUUUUGUAUAUUAUGUAUUUAUUAUUACUAUUUAUUAAUAUAUAUUCAUUUAUUUUUUUAUGUUAAUAUAUAUUUAUUAUUACUUAGCUAUUUAUAUAUUAUUAUAUAUAUGUAUUUAUUAUUAUUUAUCUAUUUAUAUAUUAUAAUUUAUCUAUUAUUUAUUUUUAUUUAUUUGUUAAUAUUUUGAUUUAUCUGAUUAUUUUCUUUUAAUUAUCUAUUAAUAUUUUUAUUUGAUUCUUAUUUUCUUUUUUUUUUCGAUUGAGAUUGGAAUUUUUUUGGGGAAUCCUACCGUGAAUGGGGAUUCAAUCAGAGUCUAUAUUAGAUUCAAUGAUUGAAUCCCAAUCCAAGGAGGAGUUAGGAUUGAUCAGAAACUCUUCUGAUCAAUUCAUAUAAAUAGAUCCACGAAUCAAAGGAUCAAUAGAUAGAAAAAAGGCAAAUACUGGCUGAGAGAGAACACACAGAAAAGAAAGAGAAGCUAAAAAAAAGGGUUUUGGUGCGUUAGAACAGUUUUAGGAAUCGGUGGGAAUUUUUUAGAAUUUUUGGUGAUUUUUUUUUCUGGAAAUUUUUGAAAAAUUUUCAGAGUCCAGUUGAAUUUUUCGGUGACAUUUUCGGCCAAGUUUGAAUUUUUUGGCCAACUUCCUAGUUUUCGACAAUUAUUUCCAGAAACCGAUCAGUUUUUUGACGAACUUCCGACGAAAAACCCAGAUUUCGAUGAAAAUUUUCAGAAUCUGGUGAGAUUAAAUCGGAGUUCUUUUUAGUUUAGAGAGAGGGGAGGGAAAAAGAAGGGAAGAGAGAGAGGGGGGAUCAGCCUGCUGAAAAACAGAAGGGAUAACCUUUUAUACCUACUAAAAAUGACAUCGUUUUGGCGUUAUUGUGCCCAGAGGAUCCGUGCGUUUUGAAGUCGGGUGACCCCACCCGAGCGCCAACCCAUUUUUGACCCGCGUGCGACCUGUGUCUCCGAGCCAUUUCCCGAGCUGAGCCGAUGUCCCGAGCCAUUUUUUUUCCUUAAGCCAAGCCAAGCCGAGCUGUUCCUAGGUUUUUCUUUUUUUCGUUUUUAUUUAUUUAUUAUUAUUAUUAUAUUAGAAUUGUUUAAUAUUUUUUUUUUUAUUUUUUUUUAUUUUAAUUUAAUUUAAUUAUUUUAUUUUCUUUAAAUAAAAUUCAAAAAAUAUUUUUGACAAAAAGUUGAAAGUAUCAAUUUUCUUGAAAAUAAGCUUUCUAAAAAAUAUUUUUGAGGAAAAGUUGAAAGUAUCAAUUGUCUUUGAAAAUAAGCUUUCUAAAAAAAAUAUUUUUUGAAAAAAGUUGAAAGUAUCGAUUUUCCUUAAAAAUAAGUUUUCAAAAAUGAAUUUUUGAGGAAAAGUUGAAAGUAUCAAUUUUCCUUGCACAAAAGCAAUCAUUUUUUCUUUUCUUUUUAUUUUCUUGAAUUUUUUUAAUGUUAAAUAAUCCGACGAUGGAGCCUCUGUAAGUGAAAUAAUAGUUUUCUUGCAUACUAUUGAGGUGAGGGGAUUUUCUUAAUUUUCUGCUAAAAGUAUUAAAGUCAACUGAGAAUAAUUUCUAAUAACUAAUUACUUGGUAAAUUUUUAAGGCUUAUUGGAUAACACAAAAUUAAGCUGGUACCAUAUUUCGAUGGGCGUUGUGAGGGUGCUAUAACCUUCCUCACACAUAACUGAACUCCCGAACCUUAUUCUGGUUAGUAAACCCAAACCUAUUCUUUUAGGGACCCUUAAACUUAGGUGUUCCCCCGAAAGGAUAGAUUCCUUAGGUGACCAAUCGCACCUAGAUAAAAAAAAUUGAUGGUGACUCCUUAAGUCAAUGUCUAGCGAUAGAUCCUCGGAUCUAGACGUUAUGACAUUAGGCACAAGUCUUGAUCAUUGAUUUGCAUGUAUAUUUAGUGGAAGCUUAUGUAGAGCUAGAAUUGCAUUGAAUUUUAAAGUUGUGAUCUUAUUUUAGAAUUUGCUUGAACAUUUAUUGAGGCAAAAUCCUAGAUACAUUUAACUUGGGAGAUAAUUUAGGCUAUCUUUGAAUCGUUUAAGCCUUUCACGCUAACCUUGAUGUAUAUUUAGCCUUAGUCACUCCAUUUGAGCUUUAUAAAUAAUCCUUCCUUUGUUUUUUGCCUUCACGAUUUAGCCAUUCUUUAAGUUUAUUUUAUCUUUUGGCUCUACCCUAUAUGCAUAUGGAUAAUUCAAAAUCCAAAUUAGAGAGCUAUGUUUCAUUAUGGAUGAAUGGUGGAGCUAAGAGAAAGAAAAGCAAAAAAUUUAUAUGUUUGAAAUAGAAAAAGAAAAAAAGUUGAAAAAAACUUAUAUGUUCAAAACAAAAAAUCAAAAUGCGUUAAAACGUCCAAAAAUAGCAAAGGUAUUAUGCACACAUAUUGAAAUUACCAUUUGAAAGCUUGAAAGAAAAAAAAAAAAAAGAAAAAAGGAAUCAAGUUUGAGGGUUUACAUGUCCUUUUAAAAGCUCUCAAAUCAAAGAAAAAAGAUCUUGAGUAAUACAUGUUUAGGGAUUGUAGAUACUUAUUUUGCCUGAUCUCAUUUAACCUAAAUAAAAUUAUUAUUAUUAUUGUUAUUACAUUUUUUCCUUUUUCCUUCCUUCCCUAUUUUUCUUUCUUGCUUCACCAAAGUCAUGGUACAUUUAAUGCAUUGGAAAUCUCCAUUGAAAUUUCCAGCUUUUUGAUAGCCUUGCUGGCUGACUAUUAGCUCUUGAGAUUUUAACAAAGUUAAUAAUAAUGCCAAAAAAUCUAGGAUUUUGAUAUCCUAAUUAGGUCUAUAAAUAGAUGUAACUCCGGUAAGCAAAAAAUAGAGAGAAACGAGGAAGAAUAUUGCCAUAAAAAAACACAAAUAGAGAGCAAUUUUUUUGGGUAGCUAUGAGGUUAAAAAAAAGAAACACACAAGCACCUAAAAAAAAAAAAACCAUGGUCUUCCUAGAAGGGGAACCAUUAAUAUUAAAAAAAUUUUUAGAACAAAAAAAGUCAAAAGUACUUUCUUUGCUAUAAGGGUUUGGGAAUUUUUUUUUAAAGAAAAUAAUUUGGAAAAAAUGUUUAGGUGCCAAAAAGGGAUAACUUGGAAUUUUUGAGAAUUUUUGAAAUUUUUUUGGGUCGUCAGAUUUUACAAAACAUUUAAAUUUUUUGGCAAUCGAUGAAUUUUCCAAUGGCUAUUUGAAUUUUUUGACCAUCAGAAUUUAGGAAACGGGAAGGAAUCUAGAAUUUAUUUGAACUUUCCAAUGCCUGUUAAAUUUUUUGGCCAUGGCACAAUGGUGAUCGACCAGAAUCUAGGAAAUAAUGGCUGUUGUCGAAGGGGUUUAGUUUUAUAGAAGAGAGGCUCUGGAUUUUGUAGAAAGAGAUGAAAGACAAGAAAAAUAAAAAUAAAAAAAAUAAAAAGGGCAUUUUAUAAGCUAGUCAAAACGGUGUCAUUUUAAAGCUAGGACUCAUUGAACGACCUCUUGACCUGCGCGCUGACAUGCGUGCUGAUCCAACCCGUUUAGUAAGAUUUCUUUUUUCCAUUUUAUUUUCAUUAUUUUCUUUCAUUUUUAUUUUAUUUUUUUGUUAGAUUUUUUUAAAAUAUAUUUUUUAUUUAAAAAAAUGAUAAUAAUAAUAAUAAUAAUAAUAAAUAAUCAUCACAAGUGAUAAUUUUAAUAUAAAAGUAAGAGUAAAUAAUAACUCUUAAUUUAAAAUAAAUCUUUAAAAAAUAAUAUUUAUUAAGGAAAAUGGAAAGAACUAUAUUUCCCUUUGCUUUUUACAAAUGAAAACAUAUAAAAAAAAGUAUUUUUUGAAUUUCACUAAAGUGUCAAGAGGAUUCAAGAAAUUACUUUUAUUAUAAAAAAAUAUAACAUAAUAAUAAUUAUUACUUACUUGAAUAAAUUUUUAAAAAAAUGCAACCUUUAAAGAAAAUUGAGAGAGUUCAAUUUUUUUAACAUAAGUAAAAAAUAUAUUUUUAAAUUUCACCGAUUAGUCAAGAUAAUUUAAAAAUUAUUUUAAAAUAAAAAUUUAUUUUAAUAAAAAAAUGAAUAAUUAAAAUAAAUAAAAAUAAAAGGGUUUGUUAAAUUGUUUUUUGGAUUACACCGCAGAAUUGAGUAAUCCAAAAAUUUAUUUUUACUCAAUAAAUAUUUAUUUAAAUAAAAAUAAAUAAUAAAUAAUAAAAAUAUUUUUUAAAUGAAUCUUUUGAUUAUUACCAAAAAAAGUUAUUUUUGCUAAAUAAAUAUUUAUUUAAAUAAAAAAAUGACAAUAAUAAAUAGUAAACAAUAACAAAAAAAAAACAAUUACAAUAAAAAUUAAUUAAAUCUUUUGAAAAAGAAUUUUAAGAAAAAUUGAAAGAAUCUCAUUUUUCUUAGUUAUCAUCAAUAAAAAAUAAUUUUUAGGACCUUAUUAGAAAGUUGAAAUAAUCCUAAAAUCUAUUUGAAAAUUUUUAAUUAUUUCACCCAAAAGUUAGGAUAAUUGUAAAAUCAAUUUUAAUAAAUAAAUAAAAUAUCUUAUGACGAAAUUUCAAAAAUUUUGUUAAUGGUCAAUAUUUUCAAAUUUUUUUCUAAAUAAAGAUUUUCUAUAAAUUUCGCCAAAGCGUUAGAAAAUUUAUAGAAUAUGAAAAUAAUAAUAAUACUAAUUUCAUAACAAAAAAUGUUUUUUUUUCACAAAUAAAUUAUAAGAAAUUAAUUUUAAAUAUAAAAAAGACUAUAUCAUCAAAAUUAAAGAAUAACACAUAUUAAUUUGUACCGUUCUUCAAAUAGGUGGCGUAAGGGUGCUAAUACCUUCCUUGCUUGUAAUCAUACUUUCGAACCUAACCCUAAUUACAUAGACUUAAGCAUGUUUUAGUAAAUCUUAAUUAAUUUUAAGAUUUUUAUUAAAAGAUGAAGUUUUUGGGUGUCUAAUCACAGUCUACUAAAAGGAUUGGUGGCGACUCCAUAAAUUUUCAUCAAGUUUAGCGAUUGAAUCCUUUCGGAUGAAAAAUCAUUAUGACAGCUUGACGACUCCACUGAGGACACUAGAGAGUUAAGCCAAAAAUUAAACAUGUCUCAACCAAAGUUUGAUUUUAUGGUCUUUUUAAUACUUAAUUUUAAUUCUUUAUCUCAUCUAGAAUGCAAAUAAGAUUAAAAAAAAAGAGAAGGCAAAUUUUGAUGGUUUCAUUUAGUUUUGUUAUAUUAUUUUUCUUAUUUUAUAUUGUUGUUAAUUAGAUUAUUGAUUUUAUUAAUAAUCGUUAAAUUUCUUCACACAUGUACACACUUGCAUUCAUGAGCUUUAUACUCGAGCUCUCAAAUCCAUUCCUUUUUAGGAGAAAGUAGAGUACCUAUGCUUUCGUGAAGUAUAAUGCCUCCACUUAGGCUAAUGAAAUACUUCAACUCAAGCUAAACCCUUUCUGUUAGUAGCUCAUUGUGGGUGAGGAUCAGGGGCUUCACUCGUCCAAAGUGGACGAUAGUAAGGAUAAAUUUAGGAACAUUUUUAGCCUUUGUUAAAUACCAAACCCUGCAUAUAGUGAACUUUAAAAAGCCAACUUAAGAUUGAUUUAUUUUUGUAGAUUAUAUUCUAAAUUAAGACACAUAAGGGAAUAUUUAUUUUAAUACAAUUACUAACCCUAAUUUGUUUUGCUUUUUUUUUUUCGUUUCAUAUUAAUGCAUCAUCAUAAACACCUGCAUAUGGGAUGUGCUUGUCAAUGUACCAAUAUCAGUCAGAAGAUUUUUGGUCUUGCUUUGGGUACACCAUUAUAAUGUUCUCAGCUACAAACCCACCAUGUAUGAAGAGGCUAAUGUGGUGAUAACUCUAUCAUUAGAAACCCAAAGUAGAAUGGGAAACUAUAUGAAAGAAUAUGAAGAGGAAACUUUGCGUGAAGAAAUGAAACUAGGGUUUUAACAAAACAUCUCUAAAUUGGUCGAGAUCUAGCUUUUCAGGAAAAAUAUGGUCAUAUUGCUUCACUCCUUGAGGUGCUGACAAAAAAUCAACUGAUAUGGGCUUUAGUUCAAUCUUAGGACCCUACUUAUAGAUGUUUCAUGUUCAACAAGAUAGAUAUGACCUCGACAAUUGAAGAAUAUACUACAUUGCUAUGGUUGCAUCUUUCCAAUCCAAAUAAAAUCUAUUGAUGAGGCCAAAAAUUUAGAUCUUGAAAGAAACUUGCCUGUAUAGAGGUCUCCACUCAGAAUGUGAAUUCAUAUAUCUAAACAAAAGGCAAAAGUGAUUGCAUCUCAUAGAAAAUCUUGCAUGAUUACAUCAUCAAACACUUAAAGGAUGAAUGAGGCAUAAGAAUAAUAGCUUUGGCAAUUUAUGGCUUGAUCAUUUUCCCAAAAGUCCUAGGGCACAUUGAGUUAUCAAUAAUUGACUUCUUCGAGCAACGGGACAAUAAAAUCAAUCAUGUUCCUUUUACAUUAACAGAAAUGUUUAGAUCAUUGAAUCACUAUCGAAAAAGAUGAAGAUGCAUCAUAGGGUGUGUACAAUUACUCUAUAUUUAGGCAAAAAUUCAUUUUCAGCAUCCUAUGGGUAAAUUUUGUCCAACUUAUAGUAAAAAAGUAGGCCAAUUGAAUAAUUCUACAAUGUUGAGUGGCUAGAAUCAAAGUCCAAGGAAGAGUGGGUAUCGAUUUUGCAAAAUCUCAUCAAUGCUUAAGUUAUAUAAAGAGUUCCAUGGAUGCUAGGAGAAGCCAUGUUGUACAAUUGUGGUGACAAGCCAUGGGUUCCACUCUUAGGGCCGUAGGGAGGUAUAAGCUAUGCUCCAGCAAUAGUUCAUCAAUAAUUAGGGUCAAAGCAAUUCGUUUCGAUGACUUAUGGGCUUUAGGAAUUAGAAUUUUUUUUUUAGGAACGAGGGUUUCUAGGAAGGUGAAAGAGAUUAGCAAAGAAUGAAAGCAGACGCGAAGAGUAUAUCGUUGGGGGUAUACAGACAAAGCCACACCUAAAUAUCUGAUAUGGAAGAGGUAACACAUCAAAAGCAAAGUUGGUCCUAAAAAGGAUAUACCAUGCCACCAAAAAGAUGCCUAUCAAGAAUAGGUUCUUCAAGACAUGAAGAUUAUGAAGUGCAAAUUUUAAAAAAAAAAAGAAAUAUGGGAGCUUAAAAAGAAAAUGCUUCAGCAUGAGAUUAAUGAGUGGAAAGAUAAGAUUGAAGAGAGUGAAAGGAAAUUUUGAAGGUUUGAAAGAGAAUAAGAAGAGAUUUUUGAAAGCUUGCUUAAGUCCAUCAUUUCAAUGACCACUGAGCUUAAAGAAUUCGAAAAGAAUGCAAAAAAGCUCAGCCAAUCUAUAGAAGAAAAGAAGAUACUGUAAGGUCUUAUGGAUAAUUUGAAAUAACAAAUACAUUAUCAUUGUAAGUCAUUCAAGUUUUAAGAAAAAAAUAAGAUCAAUUAGAACUUAGAGCCAAAGAAGCACAAUAUUGGAAACAAGAAUGUCUGCUGAAGGAAUCUCAAGCCACUCACUUGAUAGAACAGAUAAGAAAAGUCAACUUCAAAGUAAGAGACAUGGCCUAAGAACCUAAACAAGUAAAGGAAGAAGUCUAGUCAAGAUAGCAUAGCCAACGUUUGACCAAUUUUCUAGAUAAUGCUUAUGAAUAGUACAAGCAUGUAAGAUAUUUUUUUUGAAAAUUUUAAUAUUGUGAUUUGAAUGUAAAAAGUCUUCAGUAAGAUAGUAUGGCAAACUCAAAGUUGUAAUAUUGCAAUUUGAAUAAUGUGAUGUUGUGAUGUGGUGGUUCAAGUUUAGACUUAAAAUCUUUUGCAAAUAUUGGAUAUAUAACAAGCAUAUCCUUUGCAUUCAUGCAUUCAUGCAUCAUACGUAUGUUUCAUUCAAUGUUAAAUUAAAAAAAAAUUACAACUAAAAUAAAAGGGCCUCAAAAUAACAAAUCUCAAAAAGUUUCCCUUAACUCGAUCAGGUGCAAAGGAUAGUUAGGCCAUUAGAAAACAUAGAUUAAACCACUCAUUAUCGUUAUAACACUCACUCAUAAUUUAGAAUCAUGGAAAAUGAGUAAGCAUCUAUAAUGGAAAGGAUAGAAAAAACUCAAUUUAAGAUGCAAGAAUAGAUGAUUAAGUCUUAACAAGAGUUGAUACAACAAAUGACUAGGUCCUAAGAAGAGACUAAAAAAGAAAUGGCUACAAUUAUGGACAUGAUGAGGAAAAUGACCAAAGGAAAAUGGGGUAGUUGAAGAAAUGACUAUCGAAAAGGAGCCCCAAGCCCAAGAAAAAACUAGUGAUAAGGAAGAUCCAUUGUAUCCAUUAGGGUUCACUCUACCCUACGUUUAAACAUCUCAUUUAGUGCAUCCACAAAUGACACAGCCUGAAAGGCAACUAUAUGCUUCAUUUAAUUUACCUUAUUUCACGAUUCAACUACGGAGUCAAAGACAUAUUGGUCUAAACAUUGGGGCAAGUCAUGAUCCCAUUAUGGUCUCAGAUUUAGAUGAUCCAAGAGAACAUGAAAAACUAAAAAAAGACACGUUUGAACAAUCUGGGAACAUAAAGGUGCAGUAAAAAUUUGAUCUCUUGGAAGAAAGGCUAUGAGUAGUUGAAUGUGUGAAUAUUUUUAGCAAAAUUGAUGCAAGUGAACUCAAUUUGGUUCUAGAUAUGGUAAUCCCACCAAAGCUUAAGGUACCAAAAUUUGAAAAAUAUGAUAGAACCAAAUGCCCUAUGGUGCAUAUCACCAUGUUUUAUUGAAAAAUAACUUGGCAUGUAGACAACGACAAGUUUCUUAUUUAUUAUUUUCAAGAUAGUUUUACUAGAUUAGCUACCAGAUAGUAUAUUCAAUUAGAUAGGAUUAGGAUUGAUUCAUGAAAAAAUCUGGCCAAAGCAUUUAUUACUCAAUACAAGCAUGUCAUAGAUAUGGCUCCAAAUAGACUAUCCUUACAAAACAUGAAAAAAAAGGCCAGCAAAAACUUUAAAGAGUAUGUCCAAAGAUGGCACGAUGUUGCCGCCCAAGUUCAACCUCAUUUCACUUAAAAAAAUAACUAUUUUGUUCAUCAAUACCUUUUGAGGCUCAUAUUAUGAUAGACUCAUUAGUCAUGCCAUGAAAAAUUUUACUGAUAUGAUGAUUACGGGUGAGAUAAUAAAAAAUGCCAUUAAGAUUGAAAAAAUCAAAGGAAGUGAUGUUUUUGGAUCAAAGAAAGAAGGACUACCCAAGAAUAAAGAAGCAGAAGUGCAAGCUGUCAUCACUAAAAAAUCAAAACAAAGACCUUCUACUCCAUACCACUCAUAUCUCGUAUACCAACCUUCCUACCCAACCAUUUCCUACAUUUCUCAAAACUCAUACCAUUACUAACUGGUGUAAACCCAAAUACCUACCUUCCAAACCAAUUUUCAUCUUCAAGCACUUCCACUACAGCCUUUCCUUUAGUCUAAUGCAAUAGACUUUAAUCGAAACGAACACCAAAAUAAUCAAAAGCAACAAUAAUUUGAUCCAAUUCCUAUGACUUACACGAAAUUGUUCCUUUGAUUAUUCCAAAAAACUUACUGGCUGUACUACCCAUAGAGCCUUUAAAACCUUUAUAUCUAAAGUACUAUGAUCUCGAAGCUUACUAUGAUUAUCAUUAUAAGAUUCAGGGCCAUUCUUAGGAAAAUUGUAUAGCUUUCUAACGUAAGGUGUAAAAUUGAUUGAUAACGGGAUUUUAAAUUUCACAACAAAGGCCAGACCAAGUGUGGAAGCCAAUCUGUUGCCCAAUCAUAGUGGGGGAUUAGUAAAUGCUUUAAAUAGCAAAACAACUCAAAACAUCAAAAGAGAAAUAAGAGAGAUCAAAACCUAUAUGAUUUGCCCAAUACAUGGAAGCACAAAAAAUAAAAUUUCACAUAUAACCAUAAUCAAACUUGUGAAUUCCAUAUGGGGGUGGUUGGUCAUUUAUUUCAGGAUUGUGAAGCCUUUAUAUAGGAAUUACAAAAAAUGAUGGAUUCUUUCCUAGUUGAAUUUUAUCAGAAACACAUAAAAAAUUCAGUGAAUGUUAUGACUGGAGAUUCAUCCAAGAUAAGGCCUUACUAAAUGAGUUUCAAGCCCAUUACCAUCUUUUAUGAAGAAAGGCUAAGCAUUAAGCUAGUUUGUAUGAAUUUUGAGCCUGUCACCAUCUUUUAUGAUGAGAAAUUAAGUGCUAAAAUUGAUGAACCAGUUUGUACGACUAUGCCAAAGGUGACAAUUGAAGUCUCUAGCCCAUUUUCAUACAAAAUUGAUAAGGUAGUCCUUUGGAAAUAUGAUUGUAAUAUCGUAUUAUAAGGUUUGGAUAAUUGAUCCUUUCAAUGUGGCUCAUAUAAUAUAAGCACAGUAAACAUAACUAGUGUAAGAGACAUAACUCAAAGUAAGUAGUGCUAUACCUUAAAAGCUUUUGAGAGAGCACAAAAAGAAAAAGCAAAAGAAAGGGAAAUGAGGUUAGAAAAAAAAGAUAGACCACCCAACGAUUAAAAAACUCACUCAGCCCCAGUCAUAGAUCGAGAACAUAAGAAUUCGAUCAUUAAAAAAAAGUUUGUGAGUUCUUGAAACUUAUUAAACACAGUGAGUAUAGUGUGGUGAAGCAAUUGAAUAUCUUACCAACUCAAAUUUUUAUGCACUUAUUAUUGUUAAAUUAUAAACCUCAUAGAAAUGCUUGCUCAAAGUACUCAAUGAGGCUUAUGUAACUCAUAAUAUAUUUAUGAAAAAAUUUAAUCGUAUAGUAAAAAAUAUCAUAGUAGAGAAUUUUAUAUCGUUUAACAAUGAUGAAAUUUUACUUGGUGGUAGAGGUGAUACUAAAGCCUUACAUAUCUUUACAAGGUAUAAAGAUCACACAUUGGCUAAAGUGCUCAUUGAUAAUAUAUUUACUUUGAAUAUCCAACCUAUAACUACACUAUUUAAACUACCAGUCAACAUGUCUUACAUGAAGAUGAGUUACAUAAUAGUGAGGGCUUUUGAUAGGACUCGUCAUAAAGUAAUAGGUGAUAUUAAGUUAUCAAUUCAGAUUGGCCCAUGUACUUUUGAUAUAGUCUUUCAAGUCAUGGAUAUUGCUCCCUCCUAUAGUUGUUUAUUAGGAUGACCAUAGAUUUACAUGGCAAGAGCUAUCUCCUCCACUUUAGUGAAAUUUAUAAUUAAUGAAAAAGUGGUCAUUAUUACCAAUGAAGAAGAUCUAUUAGUGGUUAAACCAUUAACUAUGUUAUAUGUCGAAACAGCUAAGGAAGCCUUAAAAUGUUCCUUUAGAUCCUUUGAAAUCGUUAAUGCAACUUAUGUGGAUGAAGGAUCCAAAGUGCCUACUUCAUGUCUAUCUAGAGCUUUUAAGAUGGCUUUUAAUGAAGUGGUAGGAAAAAGGCAGCAAGUGUGGGCUAACUUGCAAGAGAUGAAACAACCAUGGAUGAUACCUAAAAAAGAUGAUCGAUUUGGUUUAGGAUACAUACUGACUUGAAAAAGAAGAAGAGAGUUGAUAGAAGAGAAAAAAAAAAAGAGGUUGGUUUCUAUUCUUACAUAAGAGGUAAAGACUGAAGGUUUUUUUUUGUUUCUUUCUACGAGACUUUUAUCUGAACUGGCUAUAUCAUCCAAAUACAAUUGGAAACAUAGAAAAAGGGCCUACACCAUCAUUAGAGGAUAUCUUCAUUGAAUUUUUAGUACAUAUGGUAGAUGAAAAGGUGAACAAAGAUCCAAAAAGUUCAUGGGUGUAUCUUACUCCUCUUGGUGAAAAAUUGAAGAAUUGGCAUAUUGAGGAGCUACCUUUUGUUUUUAAAUUCUUCAAAGUAAUGUAUUAAACCUAAUCUAAAUACUUUUGAUAAAAACAUUAAAUGUCUAGUUUGUGUGUUUGUUUCCUUAUUUUCAUUUGAAUAAAUGACAAGCAUAGCACAUUUGUCACAUUCUUUUCGUCUCUUUCAUUUCAAUUCCUUACAUUACUAUACAUCCUUCUAUAUUUCAUCCAUUUAACUCAUUUUCAAGUACUCAAAUAAUGAAUGAGAAGAUCAUCAUGAUAAUAUUUUAGGAUUUGAUUUUGAAAAUUCUGUUUAUAUUAGUAAACAAGAUAAUGAAGAGAAUGAGGAAAACCAUGCAAUAUCCCAAAAUUAUUAAGAUUAAUGGAACUAGAAGAGAAGCAAAUCAUGCCUGAUCAAAAAGCCACUAAAGUUAUGAAUUUAAAGGAUGAAGAAACUAAAAAAGAGGUUAAAAUUGGUAUUUGAAUGCCAUCAUCAAUAAAGCAAAAGCUGAUAAAAUUGCUACAUGAAUAUGUGGAUGUAUUUGCUUGGUUGUACAAAGACAUGCUAGGGCUGGAUACUUAAAUUGUAGUACAUAAGUUACCUCUAAAGCUCGAGUGCAAACUGAUUAAACAAAAUUUGAGAAAAAUGAAGCCUAAAAUAUUGUUGAAAAUAAAAGAAAAAAUGAAAAAGUAAUUUGGUACGAGAUUUUUAAAAGUGGCCAAAUAUGCCAAAUGGAUGGCAAAUAUAGUUUCAAUACCCAAAAAAGAUGGUAAAGUGAGGAUGUGUGUUGAUUAUUGGGAUAUGAAGAGGGUAAGUCCAAAAAACAGCAUCUCAUUACCUCACAUUGAUACCUUAGUGGACAAUACCACUAGGCACUCCUUACUUUCAUUCAUGGAUGGGUUUUCAAGUUAUAAUCAAAUAAAGAUGGCAUAAGAAGAUAUGAAGAAGAUUACUUUUAUGACAUUAUGGGGAACAUUAUGCUAUAAAGUCAUGCCCUUCGAUUUAAAAAAUGCUGGGGUAACUUAUCAAAGAGCUAUAGUAACUCUAUUCUAUGACAUGAUGCAUAAAGAAAUAAAAGUGUAUAUGGAUGACAUGAUUGCUAAAUCCUAUAAAGAAGAAAAUCAUGUGGCUAAUCUCAAAAAGUUAUUUGAAAGACUAAGAAAGUUUUAGCUUAAGCUCAAUCUAGCUAAAUGCAUUUUGGCGGGACUUUAGGAAAACUACAUGAAUUUUUUGUUAGUAAAAGAAGAGUAGAGGUGGAUUCAGAUAAGAUUGUGCAAUCCAAGAGCUACUACCUCUAUGUACUUAAAAAAAGUAAGGAGAUUUUUAAGGAGGUUGAAUUACAUUGCUCGUUUCAUUUCCCAACUUACAGCCAAAUGUGACUUUAUAUUCAAGAUUCUUUGAAAACACGGGUCAAGGGAAUGUGAUGAAGAUUGUCAAAUAAUGUUUGAAAAAGUUAAAGAACAUUUAUCAAACCUACUAAUAUUAAUGUUGCCUGCCCUUGAAAAACCCCUAUCUUGUAUUUGAUGGUGCAUAAAAAAUCAAUAAGAUAUGUUUUAGGGCAACAUGAUGAAAUAGGAAGGAAAGAAUAAGCCAUUUACUACCUGAGCAAAAAGUUCACUGACUAUGAAUUUGAGUAUUUACCUUUGGAAAAGAUGUGUCAUGCACUAACUUGGAUAGCUCGUCAGCUCAGACGAUACAUGUUGUAUCAUACCACUUGGCUUAUUGCGGAGCUAGAUCUAGUCAAGUACAUUUUUGAAAAGUCUUCAUUAUAAAAAAGAAUAACAAGAUGCAAAGUGCUGGUUUUUGAAUAUGACAUUGUGUAAGUGUCUUAAAAGGUAAUAAAAAAAGUGCUAUUGCUAGAUUUCUUGCAAAACACACUCACAAAGAUUAUUUCCCUAUGACAUUCAAUUUUUCAAAUAAAAACUUAAUGUUUGUAUUGUAAAUAGAUGAAGAAAAGCCUAAUAAAAAUGCAUGGGAUGUGUAUUUUAACAGAUCAUUAAGUGCUUUAGGGCAUGGUAUAAGAGUAGUUUUGAUUUUUGUAGAAGGAGACUACUACCCAAUCAUUGCAAAACUAAGUUUCAAUUGUACUAAUAAUGUGACAAAAUAUGAAGCAUGUGUCAUAGGCCGUCAAGUUACUUUUAAAAAAAAGAUCAUACAUUGAAAAUUUAUGAAGACUCUACCUUAUUCAUAUGCUAGUUGUGAGAAGAAUGGGAAAUCAGAGAUUCAAAGUUAGUUUUAUACCAAAAGUACAUAUUAGAAUUGAUCAAAAAAUUUGAGAUUAUUUGGUUUCAUCAUUUACCCCGAGAAGAGAAUCAGAUUGCUGAUGCUUUGGCUACAUUAGCAACAAUGUUCAAGCUAAAUGAAAAUAUUGAAAUCCAACCCAUCAAGUUAAGCUUGCAAGAGAAACCAGCUUAUUGUUCAAAUGUUGAGGAAAAAGUUGAUAGGAAACCAUGAUAUUCUAACAUUAUAAUAUGUCAAGUAUCAGUAAUAUCCAAAACAUAUAUCAGAGAAUGAUAAGAGAACUUUGAAAAGAUUGGUGAUGGGUUUCUUUCUGGAUGGAAAACUUUUAUAUAAAAGAAGUCGAGACCAAGCACUAUUGAGAUUUGUGAAUGCUGUUGAAGCUAAAAAGUUACUGGAAGAAAUCCACAGAGGUGUUUAUGGAACUCAUACAAAUGGCCACAUGAUGAUUAAACAGAUCAUGAAAGCAAGAUACUAUUGGUUGACAAUGGAAAGGGAUUGCAUCGAUUAUGCUAAAAAAAUGCCACAAAUGUCAAAUUUAUGCAAACAAAAUACAAGUUCCUCAAACAUCCUUGUAUGUUAUGUCAAUACUUUGGCCUUUCUCUAUGUGAGAAAUGGAUGUAAUAAGUCCUAUUACCCCAAAAGUUUCAAAAUGGACAUUGAUUCAUUUUGGUAGUAAUUUACUACUUCACAAGUGGGUGGAGGCAGCUUCAUAUGCUAAUGUGACAAGAAUGGUGGUUUGCAAGUUUAUCAAGAAAGAGAUCAUAUGCCGAUAUGGAUUUUCAGAAAGGAUAAUUUUGAAUAAUACUCUUAAUUUGAAUAACAAAAUGAUGAAUGAGGUUUGUGUUUAAUUUAAAAUCAAAUACCUCAAAUCGGUGCCUUUUCAUCUAAAGAUGAAUAAGACAGUUGAAGCGGCCAAUAAGAACAUAAAGAGGAUUGUUGAAAAGAUGACAGAUAUGUAUAAAGAUUGGCAUGAAAAGCUACCAUUUGCAUUACAUGCUUAUCAAACUUCGAUUUGCACAUAUAUAGGAGCUACACCAUUUUCAUUAGUUUAUGGGAAUGAGACAGUGUUACCCAUUGAAGUUGAAAUUCAUUCUUUGCAUGUUCUCAUGGAAGUUGAGUUGGAAGAGAGACUAACGGCAUUGUGCCAUGGUCAAUUAUAUCAAAGAAAAAUGUUGCGAGCUCAUGAAAAGAAAAUUUACCCUCGACAAUUUUAAGAAAGAGAAUUAGUAUUGAAGAAGAUUCUUCCUAACCAAUAGGAUAGACUUCUAAUUGGGAAAGUCCAUAUAUGGUAAAAAAAGCAUUCUCUAGUGGGGUAUUGAUUUUGGCAAGAGUGGAUGGGGAUAAUUUGCCAAAUCCCAUUAACGCUAAUGCAAUAAAAAAGUACUACGCUUAAAGAAAUACUAUGCCUAAAAAAAUGAAAAGAGAUGAAAAGGUAACAUGAACCGAAGAGAUAUUUGAGUUGAAAACCUAAAAGGGUGACUUAGAUAAAAAAACAUUGAAUGGAGUGGAAGAAUUCUCAAUAUGUGCCAAAAGAUCUCAUUAGUUUUGUGCUAGCUUGGCUUGUUGUGUUAUCAAAAAGUCAAGGGGCAUCAAUCAAGGGUUUCCAAAAAAAAAAAUAGUGAUGAAUUAGUUCAUGAUGAUCUAAAUACUUGUUAUAUGAUUAUUUGUUUUCCUUGUUAUAUCUUUUUGGAUAAUGCAUGAAACACUUCUCCCUUUUAUUAAAUAAAAUACAAACUUGUUUAUCCUUUAUUUGUCCCUUUCAUUAAAAAAAGAAAUAUGAAUGUGUUAUAAUUGUCAUGAAAUUCAAAAAUGAUGAAUGAGUGAUAAUGACCAUGAAAGACACACACAUUAUUUUAAAGAAAAUUUAAAAUGAUAAGCAAAAUAGUAAGGAACAAAGGUUAGUAAGAAAAAAAGCCUAUAAGUUAUAAAAGUGGUAGACAUUGAAUAUAGAAAAUGAGGAGAGAAACUGUAUUAUCUAAACUUAAUCAUUUGUUGGAAUGCAUGGGAUUCAAAAAGAAAAGGGAAACAGACAAUGAGAAAUUUUAAGGAUUAAUAAAAUGACAUAAAAUGGAAAAGAAAGAAGAUGGUGUCUUCAUUUACAUCAUGAUCAUCAUUCAUUGCAUGAAUUGCAAAAGCAUGAAAAUAUCAUUCAUGCACACAUGUGACACAACAUAUAUAUGGGUCUAGGAUAAUCCAAGACCAACAAAAGGAAAAGUCAAAAGUAAAAAAGAUGUAAACCCUAUGUUUAGAGGAAUAUUUCAAAUACCAUGGCAUUUCAAAUUUUAAUUUAAAGUUUCAUUGCCUCUAGUCAGAGGAGCUAGUUAAAAUUUCAUUACCUCUAGUUAGAUAAGCUUUUUUCAAAGUUUCAUAGCCUUUGGUUAUAGGAGCUUUUAAUUUUAGGAGCCUCUGGUUAAAAUACUCUUUCAAAAUUAGGCAUGAUUUGUAAGACUAAAUGGAAUAAUCUAUAAGAUCUAUUAGAUUUUUUAUUUAAAGUGUCAUAGCCUUUGGUCAAAAGAGCCAUUUAAAGUUUCAUUGCCUCUGGUCAAAGGAGCCCUUUAAAAUUUCAAAAGUUGUCGAGCCUUUUGUUAGAGGAGCCUUUUAAAAUUUCAAAAGUUAUCAAGUCUCUGGUCAUAAUAGCCAUUUAAAGUUUCAUUACCUCUAGUUAGUGGAGUCUUUUAAAUUUUCAAAAGUUGCCGAGCUUCUAGUCAAAUGAGCUAUUUAAAGUUUCAUUGUCUUUGCUUAAAGGAGCCUUUUUUUUUUUUAAUUUUCAAAAAUUAUCAAGUCUUUACUUAGAGGAGCUUUUCAAAUUUUCAAUAAAAAAAUUAAUUAAAUUAUUUCCAAUUGAUAGUAAAAAAGUAAAAAAAUGCGAUGUGCUUUUGUGUUUCUUUUUUUUUUUUAAAAAAAAAAGGACAUCAUGUUCGUCCAAUAAAAUGGUUGUUUUUUUUUUAUCUUUACCUUAUUCUUAAUUCUCAGAAAUAGGUAAAGAAGGGUAGCUAUAUAUACUCAUAGCUCAGUCUCCUUUAACCUAAAUAAAAUUAUUAUUAUUAUUAUUCUUAUUAUUAUUAUUAUUAUACAUAUAUUUUUAUUUAUUUUGACAUUUUUUCCUUUUUCCUUUCUUCUCCAUUUUUCUUUCUUCCUUCACUAAAAUUAUAGUGCAUUUAAUGCACUGGAAAUCUCCAUUGAAAUUUCUAGCCUCUCCGAUAACCUUCGUACUUAACUUUGAUCUUCUAAUCCUAAAAAGUCCACAAAAAAUAGAAAGUCCACAAAAAUCCCAAAAAAUUUGGGAUUUUGAUCUCCUAAUUAUCUCUAUAAAUAGAGCUAACUCUAGCAAGAAAAAAAAAAAAAAAGAGAAAUAAAGGAGAAUAUUACCAAAAAAAAACACAAACAAAUAGUAGUUUUUUUUUGUAGCUAUGGGGUUACAGCCAUUCAAAAAAAAAAAAACACAUAAGCACAAAAUAAAUGCCACAAUUUUUCUAGUGGAUGAACCAUUGGCAUUAAAAAAAUUUUAGAACAAAAAAAGAUGAGAACACAUUCUUUGAUCUAAGGGUUUGGGAAUUUUUUUUUUUAAGAAAAUAGUUUGGGAAAAGUGCUUAGGAGACAAAAAAGGCUUAACUUCAUAUUUUUUUUAGAAUUUUUGAAAAUUUUUUUGGCUCACCAGACUCUAGAAAACGUUUGAAUUUUUCGACGAUAGAUGAAUUUUUUGGUGGCUAUUUGAAUUUUUCGAUCACCAAAUUCUAGGAAAUGGGAUGAAAUCUGGAAUUUAUUUUAACUUUUCUUCAACCAUGACAUGACGACAACCAAUUGAAAUUUGGGAAAUAAUGGCGACCGAUGAAGGAGUUUAGUUUUAGAAAAAAAAAAAGGCUCUAAAUUUGUAGAGAUGGGGAAGAAAUGAAGAAAAAAAAAUAGAAAAAUGCCAUUUAUAGAACUGUUAAAAUAGUGUCGUUUCAAAUCCAAAACCCAUUGACCCAUUUGCUAACCUGCAUACUGACUCGACUCAUUUAGUGAAAUUUCAUUUUUUCCAUUUUAUUUUCAUUUUUGAUUUCAUUUUGAUUUGAUUUGAUUUUUGUUUUAUUUUUGUUAGAUUUUUUAAAAUAUAUAUUUAUUUAAACAAAAUAAUAAUAAUAAUAAUAAUAAUAAAAUCAUUACAAGUGAUAAUUUUAAUAUAAAAUUAACAAUAAAUAACAGCUUUUAAUUUAAAGUAAAUCUUAAAAAACAAAAAAAAUUAUUAUUAAGGCAAAUGGAAAGAGUUCUAUUUCCCUUUGAUUUUUACAAAUGAAAAUAUAUAAAAAUAUAUUUUUGGAAUUUCGCUAAACUAUUAGAAGGAUUCAAGAAAUUACUUUUAUUAUAAAAAAUAUAAAAUAAUAAUAAUAAUUACUUAUUUGAAUAAAUUUGUUUGAAAAAAAUGCAAUCUUUAAAGAAAAUUGAAAGAGUUCAAUUUUUUUAAUGCAAGCAAAAAAAAUAUUUUUAGAUUUCAAUGAUGAGUUGGUAUAAUCUAAAAAUUAUUUUAAAAUAAAAAUUUGUUUAAAUAAUAAAAAAAACAAUGAAUAAUAAAAAUAAAUAAAAAUAAAAGGGUUUGUUUAAAAAAAUUUUUGGAUUUCACCAAAAAGUCAGUUAGUCUAAAAAGAUAUUGUCAAUAAAUAAAUAUUUAUUUAAAUAACAAAAAAAGUGUUUCUUUAAAUGAAUCUUGAUUAUUGCAAAAAAAAGUUGUUUUUGUUAAAAAAAGAUUUAAUAGUAAAUAAUAACAUAAAACAAAAAAAAAUCACAAUAAAACUUAAUUCAAUGUUUAAUUAAAUCUCUUAGAAAAGAAUUUUAAGUAAAAUUGGGAGAAUCUCAUUUUUCUUAAUUAUUAUCAAUAAAAAUGAUUUUUUAGGAUCUCGUCAAAAAGUUAGAAUGAUAUUAAAAUAUAUUUAAAAAUUUUAAUAAUUUCACCAAAGAGUAGAGAUAAUCCUAAAAUUAAUUUUAAUAAAUAAAUAAAAUAUCCUACGACAAAAUUUUGAGAAUUUUGUGAAUGAUUAAUUUUUUUAAAAUUUUUUUCUAAAUAAAUAUUUUCUAUAAAUUCCUCUUAAGCGUUGGAGAAUUUAUAAUAGACAAUAAUAAUAAUAAUAAUAAUAAUAUAAUUGCAUAACAAAAAAUGUUUUUUUUUCAUAAAUAAAUUAUAGGAAAUUAAAUUUAAAUAUAAAGAAGACCAUAUCAUCAAAAUUACAGGAUAACACAUGUUUAAUUGGUACCGUUCUUUGAACAGGUGAUGUGAGAGAGCUAAUACCUUCCUCACUUAUAGUUGUACUCCUAGAUCCAACCUUGAUUACGUAGACUUAAGCUUCUUUUAAUAAAUAUUGAUUAAUUUUAAGAUUUUUAUUAAAAAAUGAUGUUUUUGGCUGGCUAAUCACACUCUACAAAAAUGAUUGGUGGCGACUUCAUAAAUUUUUAUUAAGUUUAGCGAUGGAUUCCCCUUGAACAUAAAAUCAUUAUGACAGGGAUUAUGACCUUAAAUUUCCCUUUAUCCUACCUUGUCCCUAGCCUAACAUUAUAAGCUUUAUAAAAGGCCUAUUGAUCUUUAGUUAAGUGUGUAGAUCUACAUUAGUGGAGAGAGAUGAGAAAAGUGAACAUAUGAAAUCUAAUUACCCUUUGAGAUUCUAUGUUAAUUUCUUGAUUGCAUAACCUUAAUUGAAUGUCAUGCAUUGAUAUGAGAUAGACUAUUCAUGCAAACACAGAAAUUGCAAUUGAAAUGGGACUUGUUCUUGAAUGAUUGUUGUGUUUGAGCUAUGUUUAUGAUUUUCUCUAAGUUAUAUUCAUCAUGCAAUUUUUUAUGAACUUAUCAAAAUAUGAUUAUUGGAAGUUUAUAUGAUUGAUUCCAGCAUGUUUAUUGUCAUUUAGCUAAGUUGUUAUUGCUUGAGGAUAAGAAAAAGUUUAGGUUUAAGGUUUUGAUAACUCCAUAAAAUAUAAUUAUUUUUAGUACUUAAAUAUGUUAAUUUUGCUUAGCUCUUAGUGAAAUAGGGUUCUUUUUACUCCUACUGUGAUUAAUUUAUUGUUUUGUACAAAAUAUUAAAGAAAAGAUCAAAUCUUGGUAAAUCUUGAAAAAUCUUGAAAAUUUUUUAUCAGCCUUGGUAGGUUUUUGAUACCUUUGGAGUAAUCUUCAAUGGUUUUGAAAUGUUCUAGAUAAUUCUUGGAAUUCUUGAAAAAUCCUCGAGUGGAAAUGAUGAAAUUACUCAAUAUUUGUAUAGUUGUACCUUAAAGAUUAAGAAUGGUUGAAUCUUGAUGAAGAAUGAAUGAAAUUAAUGAAAAAUGGUGAAAGAGUGGUUCGGCUAUUAUAAAGCUUAGUUUUGUAAUUUCAAGUUGAAUGCAAGUCUAUGGUAGCUAAUGUAUAUGCAUAUGCAUCUGAUUACUAUGGAUUACAUAGAGCAAGUCUUUUCUCUUUUGCCAAAAAAGAUGAUUUGAAUACUGAUAUGACAUGAUGACUUGGCAAGGAAUAAAAAUUUGUCCAAUUUAGAAUAGUCCAAAUAGCCCUUUGUAUUCCUAAUUAAAAGAAAAAUUCCUAUUUUGAUUUGGUUUUCCUACUUUGACUAAGAAUUCAUACUUUAAUUUGUAUUCCUACCUAAGGUAAGAUUUGUAUGUAAUUUAAAGGGAGUUUAAAUAAACAGUAGCAUAAAAGAGGAUUUGGAGUCAAAAUUUUCUUUUUUCUAAGAAAACUUCUAUUUGAAGUCUAAUUCCAAGAAGUUUCUAUGAAAAGCCUAGUCUAACUUGAAAAUUUACAUUUUAGAAGGUUAGUUAGGGUUUCAAAAUAACUUAUAGCAAUUUUUCUCUUACAAAAACCCUAAACACCCAUCAUUCUUACAAUUUUAAAAGUUUGAAGUUCAAGAAUUAUUCAACAUUAAAGAUCUAAAAGGUUUUCGAGAAAAAGACCAACCAAGCCACACUUUUCUUCUUUAAAAGAGGGUUAGUUGCACAUUGCUCUUAACUUUUAAAAGCAAAGUCAGCAACAUACAUCAAAGUUAGCAAACAAAAUAUCCAAAUCAACACCUAAUCUAGUUAAGAUUCGAUUUAUAUUAUCCAUUUUAAGAGAAGGUAGCCUUAUCCAACAAAGAUUCACUUAAAAAAAGUUUUUUCAUUUAAGAUAACAAGCAAGACCAAACCAAACUUAUUCAAGAAAUCAAGUUUAAGUCUGCCAACCAUAAAUUUAGGCUUCCUUGUAAUCUAUUUUAUAAACAACUAACUCUAGAUUUAGGAGAAAGUAUGGUUAGGGUAACAGCCCAUUGUAAUGUAUUCUUUAGUCUUAUUCUUUCAAGUUUUCUUUAGUUUUCAAGUGCUUAAGUUUUUUUUAAAGUUGUUUUCAGUUUAAUUCAAGUUUCAAUUUAAUUUUUAAGUUAAUUUAAGUUUUUGCUUUUUUUUUUCAAGUUUUCUUAAAUUUUGUUGUUGUUUUCUUUUUCAUUUCUAAUUUGUGAUUAGCUUAGGUUACUUUGAUUCAUGCGAUUCACUUGCUACUUAAACUUUAUUUUUUUGUUACAUGCUUAAUUUUGCUAAGUUAAAUUCAAUUUACAUUCUAUUGAGUUAAUUUAAUUAGAUUUUAAUUUAAUUGGCUAUUCAUAAGUUUAACUCAUAUUAAUUUGAUUAGUUUGCAUGUUAUUAGGGCUAGUCUGUUUCUGUUUUGUUUAAGUUGAGAUUCUAAAGUUUAAUUUAGUUAAGUUUAAGUUUGAUUAUUAGUUCAUGCAUGAUUUUAGGGUUAAAUUGGUUCUUAUUAUUUGAGAUUUUAUGCUUAUGCUUUUGUUUAUGUCUUGCAUGUUAGUUUAGGUGAGUUCGCAUAACUAUUUAUUAAGUUUUAAGUUAAAUUUAGUUAAUAAGUUCUAUUUUGGUUUCACUAAUCAUUUUUUAAUGUUUACAUGUUCUCUUAAGUUGUUGCAUUAGUUUGAUCUUUAAUUUUGGUUCUUAAUUCAAUUAAAGCAUAUAUUAUUCAUCUUUAGAUUACUAAUUAGAUUUAGUUUGCAUUGUACAUUUUAAUUAGCUCUUGCAUAAUUUAAUUUUGUUGUUGCAUUUAAUUAGGUUUAGUUUUAUCUUGACUUGUUACUCUUGCAUGAUUAAUUGUUACUUUAAGGUUAUUUGCAUUACUUUAGUUAUGGUUUUGGUUAGUUUAAGUAUUUAUUUGCAUCUUAUUUGAUUGUUAUACUCGAUUAACUCAUUUUACAAUCCUCGUGGGAACUAUCUCUACUCACUGUAUGGUACUUGUUUCUAUCCUAUGCAGUUGUAGAUAUUCAAUCAAUGUUAUUGCCAAAGUCCAACCAUUUAUUACUAAGAAAGAGACCACAAUUCUAUUUGUUAACACUUUGAAAGCUCCUUACUAUGAAAGAAUAAAUAGGAACACAACUAAAAACUUUGUUGACAUUAUGAUUUUUUGAGAGAUAAUAGAAAAUGUCAUCAAGAGUAGCAAACUUGAAACAAGAGAUACAACCAACAUAAAGAAUGAUGGUGUACCCAAGGAAAAAAAGAAUGAAGCUCAAGUUGUAAUUUAUAAGGGGCAGCAGUUGAAAGGUUUCUCCUCAUAUCUUCACCCAAUGUAUAAAGCUUAUGUAGCAUUAUCUAUUACCCUUACUAGUCAAUACCACCACCCAUAAUUUAUCUAAUGUUUAACCUCAAUCACACAUUUACAUUGCUAGCCUUACCACCACAUCUGCUGUAAAACCAGUUGCUAAACCUAACAAUCCAACAAGUAGUUUGAAGGGACCAUAAAGCAAUCAAGAAAGAGCUUGCAUUGAUCCAAUUUUCAUGUCAUAUGUCAAACUAUUCCUAAAACUCAUUAAAAAUCAUUUGGUAGAAUAUGUUCAUUUGGAACCAUUAAAGUUGUCAUAUCUUAAGUGAUAUAUUACUAAUGCCACCUAUGAUUAUCACAAUGGAAACAUGGGGCAUCCUAAAAAGAGUUGCCAUGCUAUCGAACACAAGGUACAGUGAUUGAUCAAAGCAAGCUUGACGAGUUUUAAAAAACUAGAAGUCUCUAGUGUUACUAAAAACUCCAUAGCUUACAACAUAAAGGUAUAAUUCUAGGAAUGAUAAGAAAAUUGGAGUUGGAUGGAGCUAUUUGUCUUUUUAAAAUUUCUUUUAAAGUGAUGCUAUUUAUUUUAUGUAUUGUGAUUUCAUUUUUUUUAUCAUUUUAAUAAAAAUGGCAAGUAUGGUGCAUUGCUAUUAUAUUUCCUCUCUUUUAUUCUAAUCACUAUUCUUUGCAUUUAUAUACCUUAUGAUAGCUUUUCUUUUAACCAUUAUCAGAUUUUUAAGUAAUGAAUGUUCAGACAAUGAUAACAAUAAUUUGGGAUUCAAUUUUGAAAAUCCAUUAGUAGUUAUGAACUUAAUCUAUGUAGAUUAUGGAAGAAAAAGGGGACAAAUUAACAUCAAAAGGCAAAAAUUAAUAUAACAGUGUCAUAGGCAUAUGGUCCUUUAUCAACAAGUUUGUUCUUAUUUAAUGAAUGUUCUUCAAAAAAAGUAUUCACAUUUGAGAUAAUAAAUGAUCAUUUUUUUUUACCUUUCAUUCAUGAAUAAAAUUAUUCAUUUGCUAACUCUUUUGAGCUUAUUAUGAUUUUUGAAAAAAAUCUAUCAAGAAUUAUCCUCCACACUAGGGGGCAAAUUUUGAAAAAAUACUUAUUUGCAAAAAAGAAAGCAAGAGUUGCAAAAAAUCAAAGGGGUGAAGGAAAAUCCCCUUAGAAUUUUAAAUCUUUUUGAAAGAAAGAUGAAAAUUUGAAAAAAUAAAAAAAUUAAAAAAUGAAAAAAUGAAAAAUGAAAAAAUAAUGGGGUAAAAUGCUAAGGUACUUCACUUAAUAAGAAAUGAUCCUUUGAUCUAUAAUGCAUCAAACACAUUUUAAGCUUACUUUAUCCAUUUUUCAUAAUCCUUUACUUUAACCUAAGAUACAUACCUUAAAAAUUCAUUUUGAUCAAAUAGGAAUACUUGAAUUAAUGAAUUAUAUAUUGAAUUAAGGCAUACUUGUGAUAAACAAUGAGAUCAUGAUCUGUUCUCAUGUUUUGUGAUUGAUCCAAAAUUUGAUAGGGAUAUCAAUGAUGAAUGAAGUGAAAAAGGAAAUAAAUACAAAAAAUACAAAAAAAAAGAUAUAAAAAAAGGAAAUGUAAAAUAGAAAUAUUUAAAAUUGAAAACUCCAAAGUACAAUUUAAGGAAAGAAAAAAACUUAACUAAAAAGAUUGAAAGACGGCUUAGGAACAUGGAGAUCUAUGUCAUUUAAAGACUUCAUGUAAGGGGAGCAAAGUUCAAAUCGAUGAACCUAGAAUGAUCUAGAAUUUAAAAUUAUCUUAAUAUUCAUUAUUUGGAUGCUAUUAUCUCAUCCAUGCAUUUGUCCUAGUAAUUUGUCUAACUGUCAUAUAUCAGAUUUGGCUUAUUCCUUAUAUCCUUUUUCUCUAAUUCAUCGUGCUUUUCACCAAUUUUAAUUCUCACAAUGAAUAGAGAAAAUAUAUGAUUGUAUUACAUUUAUCGUGAAUUUGAAUGAUAAUGAAUAAAUGAAUUAACCUUGAAAGAACCCGUUUUAUUAUUAAUAGACUAAAAACUAACUGAAGUUUUACAUGCUGACUAUUAGUUUUUCUUGGAAGAUAAAGCAUAACAAUAUAUAUAAAUAUAUAUAUUCAACGGGAGGCUUACAGGAAGUGGUAAUGGUGUUAGUAAAUAAUCUUCCUAAACAGAUUCGCUGGGGAGAUAGCUACAAAGUAUUUUGAUAGGUUUGCGAGAACUUUGGAUGUGUUCAUUCCUUAGAAAAGAAACAAUGGGGGUAGGGUAGGAGAAUCGGUCUUGUACGAUAUGAAUCUAUGUUUGAAGCUAGAAGAGCAGUUUGGAGUCUUAAUGGGGUAUGGUUACUUUAUCAAAAGAUUGGAGUUAACAAAGCGAGAUUCAAUCCCAGAAAAGCAUAUUGGAGAAGAAGGAUUGCUAAUACGCAUAAAGAAAAAGGUGUACUGGAAACAAGUAGAACCGAUAAAGAGCUUAGAGAGGCUAAGAGUGAGAAGAAGGCUAAAGAGUCAAAGGGAAGGAAAACAUAUAUUCAAGUAUUAGCUAAAGGAAUCGGUAAUGGGGUGGAAAAUAAUUCAUGUGAGGUUGCAAAGAGAAAAUCAAAGGUUUUCGAGUGUAUUGAAAUGGUGGAUAAUGAGAAUCUGCAAUGGCUUCAAAGAAGCCUUGUACUUAUGUGUCAUGGAUUUUCAGAACCUAGUAUGAUUUCAGAACAAAUGAGGAGUAAUGGGGUAGGAGGUAUAUCGGUUAGCACAAUUUCAGGCAGAUUAUUUUUGUUAACUUUUAGCAACUAUGAAAUGUUGGAAGGCAUGAAAGAUGAAAAAUGGGGUUGGUUGAGUCAAUGGUUUGAGAAGGUGGAUUUCUGGUCUGAAGAAUUCUUGGUUACGAGCAGAAGGGCGUGGAUUGCAUGUUACGGAAUUCCAAUUCAAUCGUGGAAAGUGGAAAUCCUCUGCAAUAUUACAAAGGUUUGGGGUGAUUUCGUUUGCAUGGAUGGUGAUAUUAAUUCAAUGUCAAAGAUAAAUGAAGUGACUAAUCUAAACGUUUGCGGCAAGUUGUACCCGAUAACGCUUUCUGAAGUAGAACCUUAACUAGUGUCAUUGUUCCCUCAUUGUUAAAAAUAUCAAAACCAGGUGAUCAUGGAGCCAAGCGAUCAAAGUAAGAGGUAAGGAUUUUGGUUUGAUGACAACUCCGGCAGCAGCUCAAGUUCCAGUAAGGGUAAGGUCUGGGAAGUAGAGGAAGGCACUGAUUCUGUUUCUAGAUUUUUGUUCAAAUUUUGAAUUCCAAGGUUCCAAGCAUUGCUGAAAACGAUGGAACCACAGAGUUUAGGAGUUGUAAAAUUUCUAAAAAUUGUUGCGUGUAACUUGAUAGUUAUAUGAUCAAUUCCCAACAGAUAAAGCAGAAGCCUCCAGACCUUCAUUGCAAAGGCACAUCCCGCCUGGUCUCAUUGGAGUUGAUUUAUUUGUGUCAAUAAUGUUGUUUUUCUUUCGUGUUUUUGUCAAGUAUAGACAAUUUUUCAGGAACCCCCCAAAGUAAACGUGUCCUAGAGUUGUAAAGCUGAAUUAGAACAAUAAUAGAUCCAAAUGUUAGCUGCGAAAUACUUGCCAAGCACUGGAAUACUUACCCAAUGCUUAAUGUCUUCCCAUGUUCCCAUUGAUGCUUGCACAAUGUUUUUAAUCUCUAAGGAGAUGACUAACUGAUAUAGGAUGAACUUAUUCAUUUUGUGUUCUCUCUGUUAGACACAAAUGAAUUAGGAAUGCAGGAACUGAGUAUGGGAUUUACUUAUUCGGUAGUUAGACCUGAAGCUGCGGAAAAAAAUCAACUUUCUAUACUUAUUUCGCAAAGUUUCGUUUUAUUUCGCUGGUGUUACAGUUUCGUUGAAAGUUUUAUGUUAAUACAAUAUUUGUCUGUAUGCAGGUUAUUAAUAAUCUUGCAAUGUGCAGGGUAAAUUUAUUGUAAUUUAUUAAGGCCGGUAGCCGCUUAUAAAUUUAUUUACUCAGUUCUAAUUAAAAACUUCACAAAUUCCACCUUUUUAUUGAAUUAAAAAUCAAAAUCGAUAAAUUAAAAUAUCUCAUCACAUAGAUUAAGCAUAUAAAUUUUGAAAAUUUUUUAAUAAAUUUUAAUAUAUUUAUCGAAUAAACAUUUUUCAUAAAAAUAUUGAUAAAAUUUUUAUUGUUGAAUAUGUAUCGAUUAAAUUAGAAUUAUAAAUAAUAUUUUUAAUAAUUUUUUUUACAUAUUAUUGAUUUUCAUAUUAAAUUCUAUUAAUCUAUUGAUUUAGAUUUUUAUUAAAAUUUUUAUUUUCUCAUUUUUAAUAAAAAAUUUCACAAACUUUAAAACUUCAUAUGAUGGAUCAUGCAAUCCAAGGCAUAGUUGGUUUGCUAGUUAUAUGCAUGCCUUGCUUUAGGAGAUUUUUUUCAGACAUUGGAUCGGAGUGGUCAAAAUAUGAGCUCAUAUCCUGGUUUUUUGUUUUUUUACUAUUUUUUUAUUUUUGACUAAUUAGCUUUAAUACCCUAAGUCUAUCAUGACUAUUUAGAAGCUAUAUGCAUGGUUUAGGGACAUGUAAAUAGUUUUAUGAGAGGUACAAUUAGGGGCGAUAAUGACUUAAGUUGGAUUGACUUCAGUUUGGUUAUUUUGGUUAAUGCACAGUAUUAUAAAAUUUUAAAAUACGAUCUGAAUAUGAAUUAAUCACACUAAGAAACCGAUUGAGUCGAAUUGAAUUUUAUCGAUUUGAUUUGAUUCAUUAAUUUUUGAAAAUUAAUUUUUUUCUAUUUUUUUCAUAUUAUUUUUAAUAUAUUUAAAUAGAUUUAAAUAUAAAAUAAUUAUUUUAUUUUUUAAGAAUUUAAAAUUUAUAUAAAACUAAUAAAAUUAUUGUUUUGUUCAGUUCAUAUAUAUUUGAUUUUUAUUUCAUGAUCUAAAAACUAAUUCAAAUUGAAUUGAAAUAUUUAAUAUAUGGUCUGAGUCUAACCGAAUAGUAAAAAAUCUAUUUCGAAUAAAGCCGAAUACUACAAUUUCGAAU